GGCUCGUUGCCAGCAUCAAACCCAGCAACAAGCAACAAGCCAGGAAGUUACACUGCGGAGACACUGGCCGAGGAAAACAGCACCUAUGUUUUACAAAUGUAGCCUUUCAAGAAAACCUUUGAAACAAUACUUGAAUGUUUCACAGACUCAAGUGGCAUAGCUCAUGCGAAUUGCAGGCCUCGUCUCGCUAUGGCCUCCCAACUGCCAGACUAUUGUGUAUCAAGAACAUGUGCAAAGGGAUCAAGAAAGCCGCGAGGAAGUGGUGGUCGAAUGUCAAAACUGAUGCAACGGACUGUAAAAAGCUUUUUUCGCUCGAUGUUUUUGGGGGGACGCCUACAGUAAGUCACUUCUGUAUUUUAUUACCUGUCAGUGAAAAGAGGUUGCUGUUUGUGUGUGUGCGUGUGUUUGUGUGUGUGUAACUACCGCUGUUGUUGCAACUGUCAAAACAAGGCAGUGGCUCAGUUUCCUGUCUUCACCGCAGAGUUUCACAUGAAAAGUUUGGUCUCAUUAAGUUGCGUUCACGUGACAUCACCGCAUUCUAAGCAGCAGCAAAGAAUUCCACGGUAAUCGUCAAAAUGCAGAGGAUUUGAGAUUCUUGGUAAUGGUCAAUAAUGUGUCUGUAAUAUCCGGGCCAAUCCACACAAUACAGAAGCUCUUCACGUGUGAGUUAACCUCUUAACUCUGCGUACAUUGGUGUAUGAAUGGGUGAGCGGAUCCUUGCUGUAAAGCGCUUUGAGUGCCUAAUGUAGGUGGAAAAGCGCUAUAUACUGUAAGUUGAGACCAUUUACCAUUUAACCCCCACCUUAAACGAGUGCAUUCUCUCCAGUUCGCCUUUACUCAAAUCUAAAAGCUUCUCGACUGGAGCUUACAUCCUCAUUUGGAAGGUAAGACCGACGAAACUCACCUAAGCUUCUUUCUUGUUAAGAUUUUUGGUAGUGUUCUUAUCAAAGGGGGGUAUUAUGUAAAAUCGACUUUUUCAAGCUUUAUAUCAUGUUAUUAUGUCAUUCCCUCAUUAAACACAUGCCUGGAGUGUUGCCUUGGCUCAUUCACAUAUUUUUGAGUAAUCAGUAAAAACUUAGACGGCAGCCAUUUUAGGUGUAGCUAUGCCUCAGUCCUCCUAGGAACGCCCCCACCUCCUGGAGACGCCUCUGGACCUUUCGUCACCAGUCAAGCCACCAACCACUGCUCCUCAGCUCAGCAGAGCCCCUCCCCGCACAGUGUUGUUUAGAUGCCACAGCAGUGUGCUGAAGGGGCGUGUCGGAAAGCUUCUUAAAGAGACAGAGGCCUAUUUCAAGACGUUCAGUACAGCCAUUUUGAGAGAGCAAUUUUAUUCAAGGCAGUUAUUUUAAUUUACUGCAUAUACAGACCAACAGAAGGUUACGUCAUCAUUGUAGUAUGCUAUAGACUGGUGCUAUGUGAUUGAAAAAAGCAUAAUACCCCCUCUUUAAGUUUUUGUUGCUUAUUUGACAUAUGUUACAUUACACUACAAAAAAGCCCACCAGAACAUGACAAACGUGCCAAAAACCGAAUGAAAACACAUAAAAAAUGUGGCCAAAGCAAUGAAAAAUGUGUCAAAAAACACAACAAAAAAGGCAAUGAAAACGUGACAAACAUUUGGGGAAAAACCUGACCAAAAAAGGAAGGAAAACAUCACCAUAACGUGACAAAAACGAUUAAAUGACUAAGACAUGAUAACAAAAACAAGGAAAAAGCCUAAAGAGUUUUGUAGGUCUUUCAAAUUAGCCAUUACUCUGGCCUACAGGCUGUAAGCUCCAGAAACGUAUAGAUUUUUAUAUAUAGAUAAAACUGGAGAAAAUGUGCUUGGUUAAGGUAAGGUUAAGAGGUUAAGUUUAUAUAGUAUUAUUAUUAUUAUUAUUAUUACAUAUUAUUAUAGCUCAUUAAGGUGUCCAAAAGUGGUUAUAGUAUUCACAAACAAAUGGGUGUAAUGUUCAACUUUCAGCCAUAAGUUUAAUGUGGCAUUGUGUUUGAUGUAUCCAAUUAUGUACCAAAUAAUGGUGGAUUUGGAGGUUUUCUUCAGAAUAAAUUGGCCCCAGCCCUCCAUAUACCAGUUAUUAAGAGUUAUUAAGCUUAGAAUUACUAUUGAAUGCUUCAUUUUAGAUUGUUAUGUUUUUAAGUGUGUUUAAUAUCCAAUGCAUAGUACAUGUACAAGGAGACAGUUAGGGAUGCUUUAUUUUGUUUUUAUUGCGCUUUGUAUUGUUAUUACUGUAAAGGUAAUAUCAAUACAUUGAGUGUUGUUAUCCACGAAGGAACAAUUUCAUAUUUUUAUUGCUCUAAAAUUGAUCUGUCAGUUGAAACAGUGCUGUACUUUUUUCAGUGGCACUCAUCUGUUUCAAGUCGCAUCAUGUCAGAAUCUGCAAUAAAUUCAUUAGAGUGAAUAGUGAAAGUACGUUUAUAAAUGAAAGAGUGCAUUGUGUGUAAAGCUCGAUGACUUCAUUUCCAAGCGUUUAUCGGGGAUGACGACACAUGAUGAUGCAACUCUGAAACUGCAGAGGAGAGGAAUAACCCUUUAAUGUGUGAAAUAGAUUAUUGUUUUUACCUAUUAUCACUUCCUUGCUAAAGAUUUACUUCAUUCUGCUGUCUGUCCAUUGUAUUCAGUAUUAGUAACCUUUUAUUGAUUAUGACACAAAGAGUUGACU
ensembl:lncRNA